rnacentral:lncRNA from 1 species
AAAGUGGAAACGCCGACAUAAGUGCAGCCGAUGUGAUAUUCAAACCACAUAAAAAAGGAAAGUAGUACAUUAUAUAAGCAGGUUUAAAGCUGUUUUUAUUAAACUAAAACCUACUCUGAAUAAAGUGAGAUUUAAACUGUUGACACAAUUUAAAAUAAAUAGUCAGUUGUACAAAAAAGCAACCAAAUAGUGACCAAAAGUCCCACUUGCUAAAUCUAGUGAAUAAAUAAAACAAUGAAGACAUAUUCAAUAGAAAUUGAUUUGAUGUCGAAGAACAGGAAUACUUUUUAAAACAAAACAAAAACAAGAAGACCAUUAUUUUUACUCAUAGCUUUUGAAACCAAACAAAAAAACGAGGGACAAAUAAAUAAACAAAGUGGGUAUUUAAUUGCAAACCAAAGGCUUGCAAAUAUCGAAAAACACAGGGAAAUACAGAGGUAAGGCUUAUGAUCAACAAUAUCGGGAUUUACAUUUGUAGUAAAGCACAGAUUGAGCUUGAAAAAUGUAACUUCCUAAGAUAACAGGACAAUGUCAUCAUUCAAAUAAGCAAACAUAUUAUUUUUGGAAAAAUCUGAAGCUCGCACAAUCCUAACGUUUUCUUCGAGGACAACGCCUCCGUGGCUUUGGCGAACGUCAAGGACUCGGGUUUGAAUUUCAUUAAGUAAGGCUUGACUUCGUGAUCGUUCCACUGGGGAAACAAUAAUUGGGUUUGUUAUUUCAAUGUUUCUAGCACGAUAUAAUUGUACUUUGAUGACUAGCAUGUAUUGUACAGAGUAAAGAUCAGAGGUGGUCGUGAAUCCAGUGAUAUUUGCAUCUUCAAAAUCAAUGUCGGGGAAAGGUUUAGAAAGGCUUUUCGAUAAACCUUCCGAUGUAAGUUUCAUAUCAUCCAAAUCUUCUUCGUAACGUAAUACUUUCUUUUUACGAACUAUUGGGCUUGAAGAAGAGGGAUGUAUGAACGUGAUGUAUUCAACCAAGGAAAGAGAAAGUUGCUGUACUCGUAUUUUAGAACCAUUAUUAGGCAUGAUGGAAACGAAGACGGAGACGAGAUCCGAAGGUCCAAUACACAGUUUGGGUAUUGAUACCUCUACUACAACACGACCAUCGCUACUCACUUGCCGAAUAUUAGUAGGGGAAUUAUACAUCCCCCAAGAAGAUAGAUUAUCAUACCUGCUGAGUGACACUGGUACAGUGGUAGUAAUAUCCGGUACCCCUAGUAAACUCAUGUGAGCACGUAGUUCAUAUUUCGUGGAGCAUAUUGUACCAGACCGAUUCAAUUCAAAAGUCGAUGGAAUUUCUGAAUUUUCGGGAAACGGGAUUUCAAAGGGAAGGUCCAUUGACCAUACCCUAUGAGUAGCGUAAGGAUCUGAAGAAGAAGAGAGUAUAGGAGUUUGGUCACCAAAAGGAGUGAUAGAUGUGUCAUUAGAGGAAGAUGUGGUGGAUACUGAUCUAAACGGAGUGUAAGGAGGUUGAUAUACCGAAGAUCCAGAGGCAUUAGGAAGAUGAGGUGGAGGGAUAGGUGGAGUAGUACGGUUAUGAGUAUGAACAGAAGGAUUAUCCUGAUCAGACGCAUAAGAAUCUACUAUCCAAUCGCUAGUAAGGGAGGGUGGAGGUGAUUUGAUAGACAAAUCGCUGAUAGAAUAAUUAUUAUCAUUAGGAGGUAUGUUAUUUUCAGGAUGCUCGGAAUGAAGUGGAAACAAAACCUGCCUUGCCAGACACUUAUUAUCUGAUAAGUGAUUACUUAUACCCAAGGAUGGUAUUACCACUGAUUCAAUUUUCCAUAAUUCUAACGUUAUUUGAACCAAAGCCAAAGGUUGGUGAAUUUCUUUACUUCGAACUUGGACGAUACCAACCAACCUUGGAGCUGAAGUUGGUAUCCCAUUAAAUCCAGCUUGGAAAUCCAAAUGUGGUAACGGACGUAUCUCCAAAGGAGAAAAUUGCCGUAUUAGCGUACACGGGGAUGUCAUGCUCUUACAUUUAGUGAGUUCCUCUGGCUUGGUGCUGGUUAUGGGAAGUUGAAUCUACCAAAUGGUAGACAGGUUGGUUCAGUGCAGCAAUGUCAGAUCUAGAUAGCUAAAUAAAAUCUUUUAAGCACUCGCUUAAA